AAUGGGUCAGUAGGAGCCCAGUUAUUUGUUUAAGGUGAACUGACUCCUAAAGUGGAAAUUUCAGAUGCAGGAAGUAAAAAUCCAGUCACAAAGUACUCAAUUAGUUGGUUGAAACAAAACCGUGGCCUGGAUUUUUACUUUCUGGACCUGAAAUUUCCACCUCUGACUGACUGAGCACUAAUGUGAGCUUAGUGAGUGUUAAGGUGAGCCGACUGGGCAUUAAUGUGAGCUUAGUGAGUGUUAAGGUGAGCCGACUGGGCAUUAAUGUGAGCUUAAUGAGUGUUAAGGUGAGCCGACUGGGCAUUACCUUGAGCCUAGUGAGUGUUAAGGUGAGCCAAUGGCAUUACCUUGAGCCUAGUGAGUGUUAAGGUAAGCCGACUGAGCAUUACUUUUUGCCUAGUGAGUGUUAAGGUGAGCCGUCUGGGCAUUACUUUGAGCCUGGUGAGUGUUAAGGUGAGCCGACUGGGCAUUAUUUUGAGCCUAGUGAGUGUUAUGGUGAACAGAUUGACUUUAGAUUAAUUUAGUGAAUGUUAAAGUGAGCUGGCUAAGUGUUAAGCUACAUGUUUCGGUUUAGCCUAUAAGACCUUCAUCAGCAAUUGUCUCUCUCUCUCCUUCCCCUUCUCCUG